AAGCCUGCAACACCUCACCUGUGUGCCUGUAGUUUCCUGGAAGCAGCGUCCUAACUUGGUGUGUGUUCUGGGAAAAUGGUGGGUGCGAACUUGCUGAUGGAGGAGCUGUCCACUCUGGAGACCUGGUGGAUCUGCACAUUUGCCUCUGGUGGGUGUUUAACAUGGAUAUUGACUAUGUUUGGAGGGAACUUCACUAUAUCGUUAUGAGAGGAAAAGCAAAAAAUAAGUCUGAGGUUAAAAUAAAGACUUGGCUGUGUCCACAUUUCAACGAAGCAACAUCAAGGUGCCAGGAUACAGGCAAAUUGCAACUUCCUGAACGAAAGCAAAAUACUCCAGGUGCUUGAAAUCUGAAACAAACACAGCGAAUGCUGGAGAAACUCAGCAGGCCUGGCACCAUCUGUGGACAGAGAAACAGAGCUAACGUUUCAAGUUUGGUAUGACUCCUCACUGUCCUUGCCAGUUGUCCAAUUUAAUGUGUUUGAACCUACAACUGACAAACUCUUUCAAGGACCUCUUAUAAAAAUGCAAAGAAAGGGUAAUGGUUUAGCUGUUACUGGCAGGCAUGUCCAAGGAAAAGUGAUUUCUGUUUUAUGUAAUUUGCUUAAAGGCAGUAACUUGAAUAUAAAAUCCCUGUCUUAGAAUGAACUGAACAGUAAACAGGCAAUUCAGCCUGACUGCAACAUCCCAGAAAGACUUCUGAAGAACAGCCGUACUGGGCAACAUGGUGGCUCGGUGGUCAGCACUGCUGGGACCUGGGUUUGACUCCAACCUUGUGUAACUAUCUGUGUGGAGUUUGCACAUUCUCCCCGUGUCUGUGUGACUUUCCUCUCACAGUCCAAAGAUGUGCAGGUUAGGUGGGUUAGCUAUGCUAAAUUGCCCAUUGUAUCUAGGGUAGGGGUAGGGUC